rnacentral:rRNA from 1 species
AAAGGGGGUGAAAAACCUCCUCGCCGGAAGACCAAGGGUUCCUGUCCAACGUUAAUCGGGGCAGGGUGAGUCGACCCCUAAGGUGAGGCCGAAAGGCGUAAUCGAUGGGAAACGGGUUAAUAUUCCCGUACUUCUGACUAUUGCGAUGGGGGGACGGAGAAGGCUAGGUGGGCCAGGCGACGGUUGUCCUGGUUCAAGUGCGUAGGCUUGAGAGUUAGGUAAAUCCGGCUCUCUCUAAGGCUGAGACACGACGUCGAGCUGCUACGGCAGUGAAGUCAUUGAUGCCAUGCUUCCAGGAAAAGCCUCUAAGCUUCAGAUAGUCAGGAAUCGUACCCCAAACCGACACAGGUGGUCGGGUAGAGAAUACCAAGGCGCUUGAGAGAACUCGGGUGAAGGAACUAGGCAAAAUGGUACCGUAACUUCGGGAGAAGGUACGCUCUUGAUGGUGAAGUCCCUCGCGGAUGGAGCUGACGAGAGUCGCAGAUACCAGGUGGCUGCAACUGUUUAUUAAAAACACAGCACUGUGCAAAAUCGCAAGAUGACGUAUACGGUGUGACGCCUGCCCGGUGCCGGAAGGUUAAUUGAUGGGGUUAGCGCAAGCGAAGCUCUUGAUCGAAGCCCCGGUAAACGGCGGCCGUAACUAUAACGGUCCUAAGGUAGCGAAAUUCCUUGUCGGGUAAGUUCCGACCUGCACGAAUGGCGUAAUGAUGGCCACGCUGUCUCCACCCGAGACUCAGUGAAAUUGAAAUCGCUGUGAAGAUGCAGUGUACCCGCGGCUAGACGGAAAGACCCCGUGAACCUUUACUACAGCUUGGCACUGAACAUUGAACCUACAUGUGUAGGAUAGGUGGGAGGCUAUGAAGACGUGACGCCAGUUGCGUUGGAGCCGUCCUUGAAAUACCACCCUUGUAUGUUUGAUGUUCUAACUUAGACCCAUUAUCUGGGUUGAGGACAGUGCCUGGUGGGUAGUUUGACUGGGGCGGUCUCCUCCCAAAGAGUAACGGAGGAGCACGAAGGUGGGCUAAUCACGGUUGGACAUCGUGAGGUUAGUGCAAUGGCAUAAGCCCGCUUAACUGCGAGAAUGACGGUUCGAGCAGGUGCGAAAGCAGGUCAUAGUGAUCCGGUGGUUCUGUAUGGAAGGGCCAUCGCUCAACGGAUAAAAGGUACUCCGGGGAUAACAGGCUGAUACCGCCCAAGAGUUCAUAUCGACGGCGGUGUUUGGCACCUCGAUGUCGGCUCAUCACAUCCUGGGGCUGAAGUCGGUCCCAAGGGUAUGGCUGUUCGCCAUUUAAAGUGGUACGCGAGCUGGGUUUAGAACGUCGUGAGACAGUUCGGUCCCUAUCUGCCGUGGGCGUUGGAAGAUUGAAGGGGGCUGCUCCUAGUACGAGAGGACCGGAGUGGACGAACCUCUGGUGUUCGGGUUGUGUCGCCAGACGCAUUGCCCGGUAGCUAAGUUCGGAAUUGAUAAGCGCUGAAAGCAUCUAAGCGCGAAGCGAGCCCUGAGAUGAGUCUUCCCUGACAGUUUAACUGUCCUAAAGGGUUGUUCGAGACUAGAACGUUGAUAGGCAGGGUGUGUAAGCGUUGUGAGGCGUUGAGCUAACCUGUACUAAUUGCCCGUGAGGCUUAACCAUACAACACCCAAGGGGUUUUGUA